ACAGGAUGAAGGUAAGAAGAAAGAAAGGCACCCAGGAGACAGGAAAAAGGUAAGAAGAAAGAAAGGCGCCCAUAGCCAGAAGCCCUACAGCUUUGCCUGAGACUCAUCCUUUUCGCUUUUCUGGUCUUUGCAGCUCUGGGGAAGGAAGGAUGACCCGAAUACUGUUCAAACUGAAGCACGGGGCGGGGCGUAGCAGUAUGUCAAAGGUCACCGAGGCAAAAAGUAGGCCAGCUAGGCGCUGAGGCAUUUCCUCUGACCACUGACCGGCUGCAUCCACCUUCAGGGCCCCAAGGGAGGAAGAGGAAUCCCCAAGCUUUCACUGCCCGGAGCCAGGUCACGUAGCCAAAGAAUGUCAGAGCCACCACAGCACCUUAAGUCUGGUGUUAAGCCCAGGUCCCAGUCAUCGGAAGAAGAAACAAAAAUGAGACAGAAAAUAUGCCAGUUCCUGUCCCUUGGCCAGAGAGUCACAGCACAAUUACAAGGGCAGUGGCAGUGACCCCAGCGUUGUCUGUGAACUCAGCAGAAGGAGCUGCACCGUCUUGGGAGAAGACAGCCUUAGGCAUGUGUGAGGAGGGAGCGCUUACCCUGAGCCCUAAAGAACGAGCGGAACUUAGGCAGGAGUGUGCAAUGAGCUGCAGACAAAACCAGAAAAUACCAUAGUGAAAGAAGGGCCGAGGUAGGCCACGCUGAGGGGUGGGGGGAGCUGCGGGUCCUUGAAUCGUCCACAGGAAAGAGGGCGAGAAUGAGACCUUAGGCCCAGAGGGGCAGACCCGUGAGCUCCGCACAUAGGGGCUGAGUUGCUUACCCUGAGCCCUAAAGAACGAGCGGAACUUAGGCAGGAGUGUGCAAUGAGCUGCAGACAAAACCAGAAAAUACCAUAGUGAAAGAAGGGCCGAGAUGUGGUGGCCCUUCCUGUGUCCAUUGGGCUGCAGCUCAGCUGUCCCCCUGUGUAAUGCAUCUUCCAGUCAUCCUGAGGCUGCUCCUUCUAAAUCGGUCCAUCCCUCAUUCGUCCCUGAGCGGUUUCCUCCUUUUCAUCUCCUCCCGCAUUUAGGUAAAAGCAAUCGAAACCACUUCAUUUGUGUUUACUCUGAUCACAUCAUCUAAGAAAUAAGUACUAUGUAGAUGUGAA
rnacentral:sRNA from 1 species